rnacentral:rRNA from 1 species
UACGAAGGACCCGAGCGUUAUCCGGAUUUAUUGGGUUUAAAGGGUGCGUAGGCGGAUUAAUAAGUCAGUGGUGAAAGCCCAUCGCUUAACGAUGGAAUUGCCAUUGAUACUGUUAAUCUUGAGUACGGUUGAGGUGGGCGGAAUGUGUCAUGUAGCGGUGAAAUGCUUAGAUAUGACACAGAACACCAAUUGCGAAGGCAGCUCGCUAAACCGUAACUGACGCUGAGGCACGAAAGCGUGGGGAGCAAACAGG